rnacentral:rRNA from 1 species
ACCAGACUUGUAGUAGGUGAGUGAUGGGGUGACGCAGGAAGGUAGUCCAGCCCGGGCGGUGGUUGUCCCGGGGUAAGGGUGUAGCCCGAGGGGUAGGUAAAUCCGUCCCUCAUUUAAGGGUGAGACCUGAUGCCGAGCCGAUUGUGGUGAAGUGGAUGAUCCUAUGCUGUCGAGAAAAGCCUCUAGCGAGUUUCAUGGCGGCCCGUACCCUAAACCGACUCAGGUGGUCAGGUAGAGAAUACCGAGGCGUUCGGGUGAACUAUGGUUAAGGAACUCGGCAAAAUGCCCCCGUAACUUCGGGAGAAGGGGGGCCAUUGCUGGUGAUCACCCUUGCGGUGUGAGCUGGUGGUGGCCGCAGAGACCAGCGAGAAGCGACUGUUUACUAAAAACACAGGUCCGUGCGAAGCCGUAAGGCGAUGUAUACGGACUGACGCCUGCCCGGUGCUGGAACGUUAAGGGGACCGGUUAGUCGACCUUCGGGUUGGCGAAGCUGAGAACUUAAGCGCCAGUAAACGGCGGUGGUAACUAUAACCAUCCUAAGGUAGCGAAAUUCCUUGUCGGGUAAGUUCCGACCUGCACGAAUGGCGUAACGACUUCUCGACUGUCUCAACCAUAGGCCCGGUGAAAUUGCAUUACGAGUAAAGAUGCUCGUUUCGCGCAGCAGGACGGAAAGACCCCGGGACCUUUACUACAGCUUGAUAUUGGUGUUCGGUUCGGCUUGUGUAGGAUAGGUGGGAGACUGUGAACUCUGGACGCCAGUUCAGGGGGAGUCGUUGUUGAAAUACCACUCUGGUCGUGCUGGAUGUCUAACCUGGGUCCGUGAUCCGGAUCAGGGACAGUGUCUGGUGGGUAGUUUAACUGGGGCGGUUGCCUCCUAAAGGGUAACGGAGGCGCCCAAAGGUUCCCUCAGCCUGGUUGGCAAUCAGGUGUUGAGUGUAAGUGCACAAGGGAGCUUGACUGUGAGACCGACGGGUCGAGCAGGGACGAAAGUCGGGACUAGUGAUCCGGCGGUGGCUUGUGGAAGCGCCGUCGCUCAACGGAUAAAAGGUACCCCGGGGAUAACAGGCUGAUCUUCCCCAAGAGUCCAUAUCGACGGGAUGGUUUGGCACCUCGAUGUCGGCUCGUCGCAUCCUGGGGCUGGAGUCGGUCCCAAGGGUUGGGCUGUUCGCCCAUUAAAGCGGUACGCGAGCUGGGUUUAGAACGUCGUGAGACAGUUCGGUCCCUAUCCGCUGUGCGCGUAGGAGUCUUGAGAAGGGCUGUCCCUAGUACGAGAGGACCGGGACGGACGAACCUCUGGUGUGCCAGUUGUUCUGCCAAGGGCAUGGCUGGUUGGCUACGUUCGGGAGGGAUAACCGCUGAAAGCAUCUAAGCGGGAAGCCUGCUUCGAGAUGAGGACUCCCACCCACUUGAUGGGUUAAGGCUCCCAGUAGACGACUGGGUUGAUAGGCCAGAUAUGGAAGCCGGGUGACCGGUGGAGUUGACUGGUACUAAUAGGCCGAGGGCUUGUCCUCAG